rnacentral:rRNA from 1 species
CACGUAGGCGGGAACUUAAGUCAGGUGUGAAAGACCGAGGCUCAACCUCGGGUAUGCACUUGAAACUGGGUUUCUUGAGGGCAGGAGAGGAAAGCAGAAUUCCUGGUGUAGCGGUGAGAUGCGUAGAAAUCAGGAGGAAUACCAGUGGCGAAGGCGGCUUUCUGGACUGACCCUGACGCUGAGGUGCGAAAGCGUGGGUAGCAAACAG